rnacentral:rRNA from 1 species
GACGAACGCUGGCGGCGUGCUUAACACAUGCAAGUGGAGCGACGAACCAGGGCUUGCCCUGGGGCAGAGCCGCGAACGGGUGAGUAACACGUGGGUAACGUGCCCCGAUGAUCGGGACAACCCGGGGAAACCCGGGCUAAUACCGAAUGUGCUCCCCUCACACCAGUGAGGGAUGGAAAGGAAGCUUCGGCCUCCGCAUCGGGAUCGGCCCGCGGCCCAUUAGCUUGUUGGUGAGGUAACGGCUCACCAAGGCUGCGACGGGUAGCUGGUCUGAGAGGACGAUCAGCCACACUGGGACUGAGACACGGCCCAGACUCCUACGGGAGGCAGCAGUGGGGAAUCUUGCGCAAUGCGCGAAAGCGUGACGCAGCAACGCCGCGU